UUCCGUAGGUGAACCUGCGGAAGGAUCAUUAAUGAAUUUUAUGGCGGAAUCGUAGCUGGCCCCAACCGGGCAUGUGCACAUUCUGUUCAUUCCAUUCUCAUACACCUCUGUGCACUUUUACAUAGGUUUGGUAUAGAAAAGGUCUUUAUUGACUUUGGAAAUACUGACCUAUGCUUUUAUAAACGCUUCAGUUUUAGAAUGUCAUCCGCGUAUAACGCAAUAAAUACAACUUUCAGCAACGGAUCUCUUGGCUCUCGCAUCGAUGAAGAACGCAGCGAAAUGCGAUAAGUAAUGUGAAUUGCAGAAUUCAGUGAAUCAUCGAAUCUUUGAACGCAUCUUGCGCCCUUUGGUAUUCCGAAGGGCAUGCCUGUUUGAGUGUCAUGGUAUUCUCAAUACCCCAAAUCUUUGCGGAUAAGGGUGUGUUGGACUUGGAGGUUUUGCAGGUAAUGAUUGUAUUACCAGCUCCUCUUAAAUGCAUUAGCAGAGAUAAUACUGCUACUCUCCAGUGUGAUAAUUGUCUACACUGUUAGUAGUGCGGUAUAACAAAAUGUCCAUGCUUCUAAUCGUCUUCGGACAACUUUUGACAAUCUGACCUCAAAUCAGGUAGGACUACCCGCUGAACUUAAGCAUAUCAAUAAGCGGAGGA
rnacentral:rRNA from 1 species